ACUCGUCGCCGUUUCAUCUUGGAUCUCAUCUCCAAUCUCCUCUCCGAUAUUAUCUUCAAGGUCGAGCUACCCUCGUUGGUUCGAUCUUUCGUACUGGAGAUCGAAAGACCCCUCGAUUUCAGGUCUUAUGCGGGGACUGGAAACCCUAGCAGUCGUUUUGUUUUUGGGCCGAGAAGUCUGCAAAACCCUAUCUCAGUUCAACUGGUUGCUUAGAGAUUAUCUAAAGGCUCAAUGCUGAGGUUUUGUAGCUCUUCUUCUGAAGUUUAAUUACCUCGCAAAUUUCCCAUUCUCUCUUCGCCCCUAAAUAUUCAUUUUGUGAUUUUGAGCCCCAAAGCUCUUUCAGUUGAUGUUUUAAACAAGAUAUUCACAAUGCUUGUGUUUGUCUAAUUCAGGUGUUGCUUUAGUUAUGAAAAUUUUAGCUUUGUACCUUAAUUGGCAUGUUAUAGCUUUUAUAUCGAUCUGAUGACUGAUUUAAUGUUGAUGUUAUACGCCAUAGCAGCAGCACAAUUAUAGCUUCUUCACGUUUGAUAUUUUCAACUUUACACAUAAGUCUCUCUAUUCAUUCCAUAACUUACCUAUUUGAUGUAUUCCACCGCCUCAAACAAGUCUCUGGUUUUCGUUACUGCUAUUAUCUAUUGUUAGGUUAGCGGUUUAUUUAUUUAUUUAAUACUUACGUGCAUUUAAUAUUAUUUGGAUGUCCAAAGGAAAAUAUAGCUCGAUAAAUGUAGCAUCUCUCUAUUAGGUCCUAUCAGAAUAAAUCAAUCCUUCAUUUAUAUUCUAAAUACUAGAUUAUUAGUGUUUAUUUAAUAGAGGUAUUACAUUCUCACCCCCUUAAAUAAAUUUUGACCUCAAAAUUUACAUACCUUGCACUUCAAACAGAUGGGGAUAUCUUUCUUUCAUUUCCUCUUCACGUUCCCAAGUCGCUUCUUCAUGAGAAUGGUGCUCCCAAAAAACCUUUACUAGGGAGACAACCUUGAAAUGUAGUAUCUUUUCCUUUCGAUCCAAAAUUUGAACUAGUUCAAUAUAUGUCAGAUCUUCCCCAAAUUCAAGUGGUUCAUAUUAUAGGAUAUGUGAUGGAAAUGAGAGACAAUAUGUGUAUUAUGUAGUGCAAGGUUACAGCAAGAGUAUUGUGUUUUAAAAAAAUCAGAUUCAGAUCAUUCUAUACUAUAUGUUAAGGAAAGCCUCAUUCUUGGUCUUUGUGAGCCACAUUUUUAGAAUUUCAUAAAUGCCUUCACACUUGAAAAUUUGAACUGCAGAUGAUCUUACACUUGAAUAAAUCAGCUAAAAUGUCCUCAACUUGCAAAAUCAAAGGUAGCGAUCUCUCAUUUGAAACAAAUCGUAGAAAUGCCCUAAGACUUAAACAAUUAUAAAGAACUCAACAAAAAUGCUUUAAAACCAUCUAUUUUCUUGACAAUUCAACUACAACAAUUCUCCAAGUUUGGCGUCAUCCACGCAUCACGUGUACCGGAGUACUAGUCCUUAAAUCAAAAGCAGGGAAUGAAGUAUCAACUUUGACAGCUCAGAGGUCAAAUUUUACAGUCAGGAAUGAAUACAGAGGUCCUCAUUUUUCAUGAUGGCUUAUGAUGAUGCUGAGGUCAAUUAAGUAACCUGCCCUGCUUUAAGGCCAUCUGCAACCCCUGACGAUGCUAUCUUUAGCUUGUGGGACAAAAAUGGGGUUAUUUUUCUCACUUCCUUCUCAUUUUUAAAUCACUGAAGUUAAUUGGAUACAG